CCUUGAUUUCCUUCAUUACCCCCAAGAAGUUAAAAAGGCAGGCUGGUUGAAGAAAAGUAGUAGUAAUGAAGUGAGUGGUUUUGCGAGUCUGGGGCCUCUGUUUUGCUCCUGACGUUUUUGUUUGUUUUGGUUUUUUUUUGUUUUGUCCCUGUGUGGUACAAAAAUGGCUGUGCUUUGAGAGUGGGUAAUAGGGGAGGUGAUUGUCAGACUGGAUUAUGUUGUUUUUUGAGACUUUUUUUUUUUCUCCUGUUGUUAGUAGCCUAGAAGAACUUUGUUUAUUGCUGGGGUGUUUCUUGUGUUGAGGGCUCUCAUCUAGAGGGCAGAGACACUCAUGAAGACUACUGAGCCCAGUGAUCCAGUGUUAUGCUUGGAGGGGCUAUGACAGGUGUGGAUGUCCAGAAAGAAAGACAGAAGGAGAAAAUCUACAGGCAGAAACAGGGAGGACAGUGGGCAAAUUGUGGUAAUGUUUCCCAUCUAGAACAUCGCUGAGGUAAGUGAAAUUUAAGUAAGUGAACGGUGCCAGAAUAAAAGUUACCAGCUCCUUUUCCA
rnacentral:lncRNA from 1 species